rnacentral:SRP_RNA from 1 species
UAUGACCCCGUCAACGACGACCCGUGAACCCCGUCAGGCCCGGAAGGGAGCAGCGGUAGCGGAUCCCGUCGGGUGACGGGGUCACUCAA